rnacentral:lncRNA from 1 species
CCAUUUCCGACUGGAAGAGUAACAGUUGCUACUACAAAGAUGCCUACUACCAUUAUCCAUCUUUCUCACUGAGAAGGUGUGCCAGGCUUCCUCUAUGCAACGAGUCAAAACAACAGGCAGAAAGAACCAGACCUCCAUCCUGGACAUUUCAAUCUAAGAUUAAGGCAGUUAUGAGAACAGAUGUGAUUCCAGAGAAGGUAUAGAUUCUGUUUAGUCCUUGGGUUUAGAGGUGUGGCUGGGGCCUUGGGCAGCCUGGGUCGUGAGAUGAUAGUGUUGAUUAAACUGGAAACAGUUUUAUCAG